CCCCAAGCUGAAUUUUGACGUAAUUUCUCUUGAUGUAGCUAGCAGGUGGCAGAGGUGUAUUUGAAAGUCAACAGCAUUCUGACAGCGAUUAGAAUGUCCUCCGUCUGCUAGUCUUCUUGGUUCUUGAAUUCUGUGGAGCUCAAAUAGACAACAAAGCUUUGUGGAACUGAUUAAGUGUUAGCAUAGAUAUCUAGCCUUUAUCAUGUUGAGCCUCCUUAAUAAAUAUUACUCCCUAUUUUUUAUAUUCUCAUUUUAUAAAGCAGAAAAGAAAUAUUUAUUUUAUUUUUAUGCCACCACAGUGAAUGUACUUAUGGGUUUUAUGCCACUCGUAUACUCACAUGGGGCUUACUGUUUUUUAACAUUUUUAUUUUUUUAGGAUAGUAUGAACAUAAUUAACUAAGUAAACUAUUUUAAAAUAAUUGAAAUGAAAGGAUAACUACCAAGUUCACCUCUUGGCAAGGCGUUCGGUGUUUUUAAGUCCUCCGAACGGGACUCUCUAUUUUCUCAAUUGUCCUCGGAUUCGUUGGGUGGCGUAGUCGGUACUUCCGGCAGCGUCUCCUCUUCAUGUAUAGUUAUCUUCUCUUUACACACCUGACUCGGUGCUACGGUCUCCUCUAGAUAAUUUUGUUUAAACUGUAUGUCUUCUAACCUUACAACUUCUCCUUCAUAGUCUGCCCAUCCAUCCUUGAUGAUUUCCAUCCUCUAGUUGCGGUUGUGUCAUUUUCUGACCUGCUUAGAUUCUUCAACGAUAUAGUUAGGGUCAGUAAAAUAGCGGCGUACCUUCUCUGAGGGUAAGUGCAUAUGGACUUCUCUAGUUCCAAUGUAGAUGAUUGCUUUAACAGUGCUGAGGAACGGUCUUCCAAGGAUGAUGGGUGGAUCGUACUCGUCUUCUCCCAUGUCAAUAACCUAAAAGUCUGUGUAGACAAAAUGAUCGUCUAUUUUGACAGGGACAUCAGUUACUAUUCCUUUAACCUCUCGAAAUGUUUGAUCUGCCAUCUAGAGCUGAAUGUAUGUUGGUUUUAGGGGCAUGGCUCCGAACAAGAGCCGAUAGGUGACUACGGCCAUUAUGUUGACGCCCGAUCCGGUGUCACAAGACGUCUUGUAGAAGUUGUAUCCAUUUAUAGAGCAAUAGAUGCUUGGCAUUCCUGGGUCGUCCUUCUUGGUCAGACACGGUGACUUAAGUUGAUGAUCUUGACCUCCUUGAACUGCAGUGACCAUCUUAGCUGACUCGGUCCACACUUGCUUGUUCCUGUUCCUCCUGUUGGUCCUCUUCCUUGGUUCAUGUCUGGAUUGCUCUAGAAUUCGUGUAGUCUUGUUCUUGAAGGAAAACGUCUCCUUCCUCCCUUUGAUGUAGAAACUGAUCUUGGCAGCACUAGCGUA
rnacentral:lncRNA from 1 species